rnacentral:tRNA from 1 species
GGCCGCUUAGCCCAGUGGUAGUGCGUCUGACUACGACUACAACAUUAGUCAUCAGGAGGUCGUGGGUUCGAGCCCCAUAGUGGUCG